rnacentral:rRNA from 1 species
UCCACGCCGUAAACGAUGGAUACUAGGUGUUGGAGGGUUUCGACCCCUUCAGUGCCGUCGCUAACGCAUUAAGUAUCCCGCCUGGGGAGUACGGUCGCAAGAUUAAAACUCAAAGGAAUAGACGGGGACCCACACAAGCGGUGGAGCACCUGGCUUAAUUCGAUAAUGAGCGAGGAACCUUACCUGGACUUGACAUCCUGAGAAUUUUCUAGAAAUAGAAAAGUGCCUUAUGGAACUCAGUGACAGGUGCUGCAUGGUUGUCGUCAGCUCGUGCCUUGAGGUGUUCGGUUAAGUCCGUAAACGAGCGCAACCAUGUCCUGUGUUGUUAUUUUCACAGGAGACUGCCGAUUCAAAGGUCGGAGGAAGG